AACGAACGCUGGCGGCAGGCCUAACACAUGCAAGUCGAACGCUCCGCAAGGGGGAGUGGCGCACGGGUGAGUAACACGUGGGAACCUACCUUCUGGUACGGAACAACCAAGGGAAACUUUGGCUAAGACCGUAUACGACCUCCGGGUGAAAGAUUGAUCGCCGGAAGAGGGGCCCGCGUCCGAUUAGGGUAGUUGGUGAGGUAACGGCUCACCAAGCCUUCGAUCGGUAGCUGGUCUGAGAGGAUGACCAGCCACACUGGGACUGAGACACGGCCCAGACUCCUACGGGAGGCAGCAGUGGGGAAUAUUGGACAAUGGGCGCAAGCCUG
rnacentral:rRNA from 1 species